rnacentral:rRNA from 1 species
AGCGAACGCUGGCGGCAGGCUUAACACAUGCAAGUCGGGCGGGCCUUUCGGGGUCAGCGGCGGACGGGUGAGUAACGCGUGGGAACGUGCCUUCUGGUUCGGAAUAACUCAGGGAAACUUGAGCUAAUACCGGAUACGCCCUUUUUGGGGAAAGGUUUACUGCCGGAAGAUCGGCCCGCGUCUGAUUAGCUAGUUGGUGGGGUAACGGCCUACCAAGGCGACGAUCAGUAGCUGGUCUGAGAGGAUGAUCAGCCACACUGGGACUGAGACACGGCCCAGACUCCUACGGGAGGCAGCAGUGGGGAAUAUUGGACAAUGGGCGCAAGCCUGAUCCAGCCAUGCCGCGUGAGUGAUGAAGGCCUUAGGGUUGUAAAGCUCUUUUAUCCGGGACGAUAAUGACGGUACCGGAGGAAUAAGCCCCGGCUAACUUCGUGCCAGCCGCCGCCGUAA